rfam:Oryctolagus cuniculus unplaced genomic scaffold chrTn0455, whole genome shotgun sequence.
AAUGGCUGAGUAAGCAUUAGACUGUAAAUCUAAAGACAGAGGUUGAGCCCUCUUU